UUGCACUUGAAAAAAAAUGAGGUUUGGAAAAUUGCAACAUGCUUAAAAUUCCGUUAUACCUUCUGUCUACAGAAAGGGCAAGAACACAGGCAAGUUUGUCAGAUUUGCUUAUGGAAGGAAGGGACAUCACUUCCUCUGCAGAAGGCCUGUGUGGUUGGAGAGGGCAGGACUGUUGGACAACUGUUCUCCUAAUCUUCAACAACAACCUAAAUACUGUGGAAUCCUCCAAACUCAAGAGGAAAGGGUUUGGGGAAACUGUCCAGUAGGAAGGACCCUAGGAGGAGCUGUGCUACCAACAGGACAGAAGGGAACAAAGAAGCCAAGAGCCGGCAUGAAGUUCUUGGUGGGACUAGAAGGGAAAAUGCCAAAAUAUCCUUUGAGAGCCUAUUCUUGCAAGACACAUCAGAGAUCUCAUUAGGAAGCCUGUUCUUGUAAUACUCCUAGCCAAGUUUUGCAGUCUCUGUAAAUCUGAAUGAUGUAAGUAAGUAUGUGAACUUUUGGUACUUAUCUGGUUUUCUCUUAAUCUGUUUGUAAAUAAUCCACACUUCUGUGCUUCUUUCAAAUCCAUCCUAAUCAUGCAGACUUUUAAAAUCUGUCAUUGCACUUUCCAAUUUUGUACCUGCUAUAAGUAGAUAAAAGAGCAAAAAUCUUCUAUAAUGGGUAAAAUUCAGUAUAUCAUUAUUCAUAGUAGAAUUUAGAUCUUAGAUGGAACUAUUUGUCUUUAAAACCUUUUACAAAUAUAUAUGUUGUUGGGACUGUGGAUAAGCUUAUUUUGGUGCUGGUGUAGCAGGUGUUUUUCUUAACCAUUUUUUUUUUUAGGAGAAAUCCCAACUUUAGAGGAAAUGAGCACUCGAUUAUUUAAAUUUCCUGAGAUUAGAGGAAGAACACUUUGCCAAACAAUGCCUCUUCACUUCAAAACCUCUCCUCAUAAAUUAUGUUAGGAGAUCUUAUUAAAAGUCUGUAAAAAUUUCCUAUUAAAAAUGGUUGAUUGCAGUCCAG